CCUACGGGGCGCAGCAGUAGGGAAUCUUCCACAAUGGGCGAAAGCCUGAUGGAGCAACGCCGCGUGGGUGAAGAAGGUCUUCGGAUCGUAAAACCCUGUUGUUAGAGAAGAAAGUGCGUGAGAGUAACUGUUCACGUUUCGACGGUAUCUAACCAGAAAGCCACGGCUAACUACGUGCCAGCAGCCGCGGUAAUACGUAGGUGGCAAGCGUUAUCCGGAUUUAUUGGGCGUAAAGGGAGCGCAGGCGGUCUUUUAAGUCUGAAGUGAAAGGCAGGGGCUUAACCCCUGAACUGCUUUGGAAACUG
rnacentral:rRNA from 1 species